rnacentral:rRNA from 1 species
CUGACGAGUGGCGGACGGGUGAGUAAUGCUUGGGAAUCUGGCUUAUGGAGGGGGAUAACGACGGGAAACUGUCGCUAAUACCGCGUAGAAUCGGAAGAUGAAAGUGCGGGACUGUAAGGCCGCAUGCCAUAGGAUGAGCCCAAGUGGGAUUAGGUAGUUGGUGGGGUAAAGGCCUACCAAGCCUGCGAUCUCUAGCUGGUCUGAGAGGAUGACCAGCCACACUGGAACUGAGACACGGUCCAGACUCCUACGGGAGGCAGCAGUGGGGAAUAUUGCGCAAUGGGGGGAACCCUGACGCAGCCAUGCCGCGUGAAUGAAGAAGGCCUUCGGGUUGUAAAGUUCUUUCGGUAUUGAGGAAGGUUGAUGUGUUAAUAGUACAUCAAAUUGACGUUAAAUACAGAAGAAGCACCGGCUAACUCCGUGCCAGCAGCCGCGGUAAUACGGAGGGUGCGAGCGUUAAUCGGAAUAACUGGGCGUAAAGGGCACGUAGGCGGUUAUUUAAGUGAGGUGUGAAAGCCCCGGGCUUAACCUGGGAAUUGCAUUUCAGACUGGGUAACUAGAGUACUUUAGGGAGGGGUAGAAUUCCACGUGUAGCGGU